rnacentral:rRNA from 1 species
AACGAACGCUGGCGGCAUGCCUAACACAUGCAAGUCGAACGAGACCUUCGGGCCUAGUGGCGCACGGGUGCGUAACGCGUGGGAACCUGCCCUUAGGUUCGGAAUAACUCCCCGAAAGGGGUGCUAAUACCGGAUAAUGUCUUCGGACCAAAGAUUUAUCGCCUGUGGAUGGGCCCGCGUUGGAUUAGCUAGUUGGUAGGGUAAAAGCCUACCAAGGCGACGAUCCAUAGCUGGUCUGAGAGGAUGAUCAGCCACACUGGGACUGAGACACGGCCCAGACUCCUACGGGAGGCAGCAGUGGGGAAUAUUGGACAAUGGGCGAAAGCCUGAUCCAGCAAUGCCGCGUGAGUGAUGAAGGCCUUAGGGUUGUAAAGCUCUUUUACCCGGGAAGAUAAUGACAGUACCGGGAGAAUAAGCCCCGGCUAACUCCGUG